AAGGAUUUAAGUUAAAGAAACUCUUAGCCUUCAAAGCUGAUAAUAGAAUUUACAAGCAUUUCUAAGCCUUA
rnacentral:tRNA from 1 species